rnacentral:rRNA from 1 species
CCUACGGGAGGCAGCAGUGAGGAAUAUUGGACAAUGGGCGAAAGCCUGAUCCAGCCAUGCCGCGUGCAGGAAGACUGCCCUAUGGGUUGUAAACUGCUUUUGUACGGGAAGAAACACCCCCACGUGUGGGGGCUUGACGGUACCGUAAGAAUAAGCAUCGGCUAACUCCGUGCCAGCAGCCGCGGUAAUACGGAGGAUGCAAGCGUUAUCCGGAAUCAUUGGGUUUAAAGGGUCCGUAGGCGGGCAAUUAAGUCAGAGGUGAAAGUCUGCGGCUCAACCGUAGAACUGCCUUUGAAACUGGUUGUCUUGAAUCGUUGUGAAGUGGUUAGAAUGAGCAGUGUAGCGGUGAAAUGCUUAGAGAUUGCUCAGAAUACCGAUUGCGAAGGCAGAUCACUAACAACGUAUUGACGCUGAGGGACGAAAGCGUGGGGAGCGAACAGGAUUAGAUACCCUGGUAGUCCACGCCGUAAACGAUGGAUACUAGCUGUCCGGUCUUCGGACUGGGUGGCCAAGCGAAAGUGAUAAGUAUCCCACCUGGGGAGUACGUUCGCAAGAAUGAAACUCAAAGGAAUUGACGG